rnacentral:misc_RNA from 1 species
GUGAAUCAUCAAAUUUUUGAACGCAAAUUGCGCUUCCUGGUAUCCCGGGAAGUAUGCCUGUUCGAGGGUCAGUAUUAACAAAAAAUCGGUUUGGUUGCAAAUUGUGACGUUUCCGGAGUUUGGGCUAUCUUAACUUUUUUGGUUAAGGGGCUUAAAAUUGACCUUAUUUGCGCAUUUUUAGAUGUACAUAAAUUUUUUUUUUAUCAGUUUAUUCUUUAUGCAAAAAUUUUAUUGGAUGCGUUGAC